rnacentral:lncRNA from 1 species
GACGGUUCCAUGUCAGGUCGCCCAAUGUCAGCCCGCCCCCUUACAAAGUCGCCCUCAAUUGGUCAUGUCGCCUCCCGAUUUUUUGUGCCGAUUUUGGGAUUCUUGGUCAGCUCGCCCCCACUUUUUUGGUCAUCUCGCCCCCUAAUUUGUUGUUUUAAUUUGAUGUAUUUUACAAGUUCAAAGUCAAGCCAUUUUUAGUUCCUUGCAUCUCAGUACUAUGUUAUUACUUUGUUAUCACUAAAUAUUGAAAAUUUUCCUCGUAACUGCAUAUUUUUGAGGAUAUUUGCAUCUAAGUUUCCACCGGCUUACGUAGUAGGUCUACUACCUCAUCGCUCGUUCUGACUCGACUGGCUUAGUUCUAGUGACGGAGCUUACGGAUGAAUGCUUGAAUUCAGUUGCAGAUGCAGUAGAUACAAUUUGCACUUAUAUGAAGGAAGCACUGGGAAAGUACAUCUACUUUUCAAAAAUGCCACAGGCCAGAAACAAAUCCAGAUUGGAUACAGGGACCGACAUGCUGGGAAGAUGGGUCCUUGAUAAUUCACUGAACACAGAGCUGCAGAUGUGACUUGGCAUAGUGACCUAAGAGUGGGAGCGGUACGGAACCGUUGAAGCAAUUCACCGAACACUGUUGAAGCAAUUCACUGAACACAGUCAGAGCUGCAUGUGUGACUUGGCAUGGUGACCCUUAAAGUCUCCUGACGGCUCCGAUUGCGAUUCUGAUGAUGAACCAUUGUCUAUGCUUCUGAGCGAGUCAAAAGUCUAGAUCAAGAAUCUUCGCUGCUUCAACCACUAUCGCUUGGAUGACAUACGUGUGAAGAAACUUGAAGAACUUGUGUUGAAGAGCAUGCUUGAGAAACUAGAAUCAAUUACAUUGAUCGUUUUGGCAAUGCUUCAAUGUUUCAAUACCUCAAUCUCUCUUUUAUACUGUUUGAUUUUAGACAUUUUGAAUAUCAUAAAUAAAGCAAACUCCACUCAUAAUUGUAAUUGUGUGUAGUAAUUGCAAUGAAAUAGAUCCAUUUAAAAUCAAUGAAUUGAUUUAAAGCAAACUGGUAACAUUUUCCAUGAUUUCUUAAACAAUGAACUGAAUGGUCGUAAAGGUGUUUGGUAAACUUUGUAGCGUUUGAGACUGUGUACUAAAUUUUAUUGAAAUAUCCUAGAAAGAGAUUGUGUAAACUGACUUGGUUCUGAUACUCUACUCACAAGAUAUUUAUGAAAAACAGAGAUGAACAAAAAAAGUAACGAUGAUGAUUAUAUUAGUCAUUUUUCCUAUUGAAAAACUUCAUGAUACAUGUAGUACAUGUAUGUCAAGCAUUUUGUAUGUCACAUGUGGCAUUUCCUCCCUACGAUUGCUGAACAAACAUGAUAACCAGGACAUGUAUAACGAAUUAGAUAAAGACAUUUUAGCAUAUUUACAAGUACUGUAUAAUGAAUGAAAUAACCUUUGUAUUCCGUGGAUGUAUACCUGAUGAGUCUUUUCGAAAAACCCUAGAUGUACAUUUCAAAAUGCAAUACAGUAUUGAUGAUAAUUGAUGAUGAUAUGUUUGGUAUGAAUUAUUUAAUAUUUUUGAAUUUAUGCUCUAUUUGCCACUUGCUGUUCUGGUUCCAAAUGUUUGAAUUAAAACUGCUCAGUCGAAAUUCA